AGUGGGUGGGUAAAUUCCAUCUAAAGCUAAAUAUUGGCGAGAGACCGAUAGCGAACAAGUACAGUGAUGGAAAGAUGAAAAGAACUUUGAAAAGAGAGUGAAAAAGUACGUGAAAUUGUUGAAAGGGAAGGGUUUGAGAUCAGACUCGAUAUUUUGUGAGCCUUGCCUUCGUGGCGGGGUGACCCCCACCUUAUCGGGCCAGCAUCGGUUUGGGCGGUAGGAUAAUGGCCGUAGGAUGUGACUUUCUUC
rnacentral:rRNA from 1 species